rnacentral:rRNA from 2 species
AGAGUUUGAUCCUGGCUCAGGACGAACGCUGGCGGCGUGCUUAACACAUGCAAGUCGAACGGACCAAGUUGUAGUAAUAUGGCUUGGUUAGUGGCGAACGGGUGAGGAACACGUGACUAAUCUACCCUGGACUGGGGAAUAACGCUGGGAAACCGGCGCUAAUACCGCAUAUUGAGCCUGAGGGGCAUCCCUUGGGUUUGAAAGUUUCGGCGGUCCGGGAUGAGGUCGCGUCCCAUUAGUUUGUUGGUGAGGUAACGGCUCACCAAGGCGACGAUGGGUAGCUGAUCUGAGAGGAUGAUCAGCCACACUGGGACUGAGAUACGGCCCAGACUCCUACGGGAGGCAGCAGUGAGGAAUAUUGCGCAAUGGGCGAAAGCCUGACGCAGCAACGCCGCGUGGAGGAUGAAGGUGCUUUGCAUUGUAAACUCCUGUAAGGGGGGACGAACAACCCACCAUUUGGUGGACCUGACGGUACCCCCAAAGUAAGCACCGGCUAAUUCCGUGCCAGCAGCCGCGGUAAUACGGAAGGUGCAAGCGUUGUCCGGAUUUACUGGGAGUAAAGGGCGUGUAGGCGGAGUGGUAUGUCGGAAGUGAAAUCGUGCGGCUCAACCGUAUCAAGUGCUUCCGAAACUGCCAUCCUUGAGUACCAGAGAGGGAGAUGGAAUUCCGNGGUGUAGCGGUGGAAUGCGUAGAUAUCGGGAGGAACACCCGUGGCGAAGGCRGUCUCCUGGCUGGUUACUGACGCUGAAGCGCGAAAGUGUGGGGAGCAAACAGGAUUAGAUACCGUGGUAGUCCACACAGUAAACGAUGGUCACUAGGUGUUGGAAGGAUUCGACCCUUCGGUGCGACGCUAACGCAUUAAGUGACCCACUGGGGAGUACGAUCGCAAGGUUGAAACUCAAAGGAAUUGACGGGGGCCCGCACAAGCGGUGGAGCAUGUGGUUUAAUUCGAUGCAACGCGAAGAACCUUACCUGGGCUUAAAGUGUGGUGUAAACCGAUGAAAGUCGGGUAGCUCGCAGGAGCGCGCCAUAGAGGUGCUGCAUGGCUGUCGUCAGCUCGUGUCGUGAGAUGUUGGGUUAAGUCCCGCAACGAGCGCAACCCCUGUCCUUAGUUGCCAUCAGGUUAUGCUGGGAACUCUAAGGAGACUGCCGACGUUAAGUCGGAGGAAGGUGGGGAUGACGUCAAGUCCUCAUGGCCCUUAUGUCCAGGGCUACACACGUGCUACAAUGGCCGGUACAGAGCGUCGCGAUCCCGCGAGGGGGAGCCAAUCGCAUAAAACCGGUCUCAGUUCAGAUUGCACUCUGCAACUCGAGUGCAUGAAGUCGGAAUCGCUAGUAAACGCGGAUCAGCAGGCCGCGUUGAAUACGUUCCCGGGCCUUGUACACACCGCCCGUCACACCAUGGAAGCCGACAGUACCCGAAAAGCCUGGGCUAACCGCAAGGAGGCAGGGUUGAAGGUAAGGUUGGUAACUGGGGUGAAGUCGUAACAAGGUAACC